rnacentral:rRNA from 1 species
GACGAACCGAGCGAACGUUGUUCGGAAUCACUGGGCUUAAAGGGCGCGUAGGCGGUCUGCCAAGUCGGGGUUGAAAUCUUUCGGCUCAACCCAGGAACUGCGUCCGAUACUGGCAGGCUUGAAUUCGGGAGAGGGAUGCGGAAUUCCAGGUGUAGCGGUGAAAUGCGUAGAUAUCUGGAGGAACACCGGUGGCGAAGGCGGCAUCCUGGACCGAUAUUGACGCUGAGGCGCGAAAGCCAGGGGAGCAAACGGG